CCCGUCGUAGAUCAAUUGGCAGAUCAUCCGGCGCGAGCCGGGAGAUGCGGGUUCGAGUUCCGCAGGCGGUG
rnacentral:tRNA from 1 species